CAGCAGCCGCGGUAAUACGAAGGGGGCUAGCGUUGCUCGGAAUGACUGGGCGUAAAGGGCGCGUAGGCGGAUUGUUUAGUUAGGCGUGAAAUUCCUGGGCUUAACCUGGGGACUGCGCUUAAUACAGGCAGUCUAGAGUGAGGAAGAGGGUUGUGGAAUUCCCAGUGUAGAGGUGAAAUUCGUAGAUAUUGGGAAGAACACCGGUGGCGAAGGCGGCAACCUGGUCCUUGACUGACGCUGAGGCGCGAAAGCGUGGGGAGCAAACAGGAUUAGAUACCCGAGUAGUCCCUGUCUCUUAUAC
rnacentral:rRNA from 1 species